AGUACCGUGGCAAAUUCGUUAGUAUUGCUUCUAGGCACAUUUUCAGUUCAGUUAGCAGUCAUCAUGCAGGGCUGGAUCGUUUUCGUCGUGCUGUCUCUAUAUAACCUAUCAGUUGGUACCGCUUAUUAUACAAGUCCAAUCUAUGCUACUCUAUGCAGGCGAACAGGAGGAUCCAUAACUUGUUAUCAAGACGACACUUGGGGCUUUAAUGAGAAGACUCGAAAAUGCUAUCGUGUACGAAAGGCUACAGCACCAUGCGGCUUUUUCGAUGGUAAAAAAGGUUGCGUGGACUUUUGCCUCAAAUCUAGGGGAUAAGACAGCAUGUUAAGUGCUAAACUUUAAAAAAUGCUUGUCUUAAUAUACAAUAAUAGUGGCCUUAACGUGUCUCAUACGCCAUAUAAAAUAUCUAAGGUCAUGAAAAUGGCUUUAGAUAAAUGCAUGUCCUGAUAUUUAAUAAAAUAUAAUAAUAAUGGCCUUAACGUGUCUAAUACACCAUAUAAUGUAUGCCAAUCCAUACCUAAAAGUUAUCUAAAGCCAUGAAAAUUAUAUGACUGUUAUUUUGUAACUCCACCAGUUACGAUGAAUAUCUUUCACAAACUGUUCUUUAUUUUAUUAAGCCUAUCCAACAUGAUUCUCGGAAAUGCUGGCUCACUGAAAGACAUGUUCUGCAGUCCUAGUCAAGUAGAAGACUUUUGCUUGGAGGAGAACACUUGGGCAUUUGACCAGAAAACGAAAUCAUGUAAACUUGUGAUUG